rnacentral:rRNA from 1 species
UACGUAGGUGGCGAGCGUUGUCCGGAUUUACUGGGCGUAAAGGGCGCGUAGGCGGUGCGGUAAGUCACCUGUGAAAUCUCCUGGCUCAACUGGGAGCUUGCAGGCGAAACUGCCGUGCUGGAGUGUGGGAGAGGUGCGUGGAAUUCCCGGUGUAGCGGUGAAAUGCGCAGAUAUCAGGAGGAACACCGGUGGCGAAGGCGGGUCUCUGGGCCGAUACUGACGCUGAGGAGCGAAAGCGUGGGGAGCGGACAGG